CUGAAGAACACGUUGUUCUUCUCCCACGAGAUUUCACCUCCUCCUUCUCGAGUUAUUGCCAUUCCUCAUCUUCUGGCCCCAAAGAAACUGUGGACGUUCUGAGGUUCAGCCAUGAAGAUCUUGUUCUGCUUAUUUUUUGUUCUCAUUCUUAUGCUGCCAGGCUUUCUUUUCCACUCUCAAGGAACAUGCUCAGAUGGAGUUUGCAGGCGUAGAUGGUGCUACAGGGAGGAACGACACUGGGGACGUUGCCGAUAUGAUCGUAACCAGUUGUAUUGUUGCUUUUGGAUGGUGCCUAUUUUCCCGCAGGGAAAAUAAUUCAAGACCGUCCAUGAACCUUGUAAACCUUGCCUCUUCCUUUGCCUGCAACUGUUCUUCAUGACUGACACCAAAGAUUCAUUCGUCUGAGUUCAACAAGGCAUUCAUACUUUCCAAAAGCACCUUCUUCUGUGGUUAAAAGAAAAAAAUAGUUCAAUUCAUAAGAAGAGACAUUAUUGUUUAUUUCCAAAAUAAUCUCUCCUUCUCUUUCAUAGCUAUUGAUUUGUAACCUAGAGUUGUACAUCCAUAACUGAUCUGUAAUCAUAGUCAUUACAUAUUUACAACUGUGGCUCUAUCACCAUAAUUAUAAAAGUCCCUCAGUCCUGGUUUACAGGUUGAA